UUAUUUAUUUUAUUAUAUUUAUUUUUUGUUUAUUUAAUUAUUUAAUAAAAAUAAUUUUAUUGAAUUUUGUCUUAGUAUAUUUUGUAGAAUUGAUUUUUUAAAUUAUAGUUUAUUGGUAAUGUAAUUGUUUUAUGAAAUAUUAUUUUAAAUUUUUAAAAGUAUAUUUUAUUUAUUGUACUUUUGUAUGAGGGUUUAUCAAAUUUUAGUAUUUAAUUUACUUGUCUGCAUUUGGGUUGAUUUAUAAAUAAUUUAUAGUUAAUGKAUCAUAAUUAUUAUUAAAUUAUUUAUGGAAAUGAAAUGKUAAUCGUUUCCCAAGAUAUUUAGUUUUUUAAGAAAAAUUUUAAUUUUUUAAAGKUAAUUGSUUUAUUUAAUUUUUUAAUUAUAAAUAUUAACUUAUUUAUUCUUUAAGGGAUAAGGUUUGAAGUUAAUAACCUAUAAUUUGKGUUAUAAAAUAUAAUAGUAAGGGUUAAACC
rnacentral:rRNA from 1 species